AUGGACCCUUACAUAGCCUAUCAAGUUUGUGUUAUAGUCAAUGGUACAAAUCACUAUAAUAAGGUUUACUAUGUAAUAAGAAUGUAUGUAGAGAGUUUAUUGGCUAUGUCCACUGUUGAUGCAGAUUAUUGGCUAUCAUGUUUUUGCUAUGUUUUUUUUUUGGUUCUUAUAUUGCAUGAACUUGACUCCUUGAGUAAAAAAAUUAUCCCGGCAAUAUCCAAACUGCUGCACAGGCAUAUUCUGACUGAGUUUUACUAUUGUAUUGUGCCAAGGACUUACAGAUACGAUUUUAUGUUUGCUUGUAGGGGCACGGGAAAGCAAAUAAGUGAGUGA
rnacentral:rRNA from 1 species